GUCUACGAUCAUAUCACCCUGAACGCACCCGAUCUCGUCUGAUCUCAGAAGCUAAGUAGGGUCGGGCCUGGUUAGUACUUGGAUGCGAGAUAUCUAAGUGAUGAUGAUGUGUCAAUGUGGGUU
rnacentral:rRNA from 1 species